rnacentral:misc_RNA from 1 species
UACGGAGGGUGCAAGCGUUAUCCGGAAUGAUUGGGCGUAAAGGGUCCGCAGGCGGUCUGUUAAGUUAGAUAUUAAAGCCAGCAGCUCAACUGUUGGAUUGUAUCCAAUACUGGCAGACUAGAGUCUUGGAGAGGUGUACGGAAUUCUGCAUGUAGGGGUAAAAUCCGUAGAUAUGCAGAGGAACACCGAAAGCGAAGGCAGUACACUGGCCAAGCACUGACGCUCAGGGACGAAAGCGUGGGGAGCAAACAGG